GACGAACGCUGGCGGCGUGCUUAACACAUGCAAGUCGAACGGAAAGGCCCAGCUUGCUGGAGUACUCGAGUGGCGAACGGGUGAGUAACACGUGGGUAAUCUGCCCUGCACUCUGGGAUAAGCCUGGGAAACUGGGUCUAAUACUGGAUAUGACCUUUCUCCUUAUGGGGUUUGGUGGAAAGUUUUUCGGUGUAGGAUGAGCUCGCGGCCUAUCAGCUUGUUGGUGGGGUGAUGGCCUACCAAGGCGACGACGGGUAGCCGGCCUGAGAGGGUGAUCGGCCACAUUGGGACUGAGAUACGGCCCAGACUCCUACGGGAGGCAGCAGUGGGGAAUAUUGCACAAUGGGCGGAAGCCUGAUGCAGCGACGCCGCGUGAGGGAUGACGGCCUUCGGGUUGUAAACCUCUUUCAGCAGGGACGAAGCGUAAGUGACGGUACCUGCAGAAGAAGCACCGGCUAACUACGUG
rnacentral:rRNA from 1 species